rnacentral:rRNA from 1 species
AUGGGCGAGAUGAACCACCAGCCCGGGGUGCCGCCGCCGGUGGGCGUGCCACCGCCCAUGGGGAUGCAGCCCAUGAUGAACGCUCCGGUCGGCGCGGGCGCCAUGCACCAGCCCUACGAGCAGUUCAACCAACUCAACUACUGCGUCCACUCCAAUCCUUCUUGGGUUCAGGUAGCAGGGCUUGCAUUCCUCCACUACCUAGUGAUGUUGGGCUCGACUGUCAUGCUUGUGUCAAUUAUUGUUCCUGCAAUGGGUGGUGGUCCUGGUGAGAAGGCUCGUGUUAUUCAAGCGUUCCUGUUUGUGAGUGGCAUUAAUACUCUGCUCCAAACACUCGUUGGGACACGACUUCCAACAGUUAUGAAUGCCUCCUUCGCAUUUGUUGUCCCAGUGCUGUCAAUAGCCAGACAGUUUAACACAAACGACUUUGAAAGUAAUCACGAGAGAUUCGUUCACACAAUGAGAGCAACUCAAGGGGCUCUAAUUGUUGCUUCAAUCCUCAACAUGAUUCUUGGAUACAGCAGAGCAUGGGGGGCAUUUGCCAAGAAAUUCAGUCCUGUAAUAAUGACUCCUGUUGUUUGUGUCGUUGGUCUUGGACUAUUUCAAAUUGGCUUUCCUCAGGUUGGAAAAUGUGUUGAGAUUGGGUUGCCAAUGCUAAUUCUUGCGAUUGUUGUGCAACAGUAUGCGCCACUUUACUUCAGACAUAUCCAUGACCGAACAACCUUCUUGUUUGAGAGGUAUUCGUUGCUUCUUUGUAUCGGCAUUGUGUGGGCCUUUGCAGCUAUCCUUACUGCUGCUGGUGCAUACAACCAUGUUUCGCUCAAGACACAACAGCACUGCCGCACUGACAAGUCUUUCCUUAUAUCAUCUGCACCAUGGAUCAAAAUUUCAUACCCCUUCCAUUGGGGUCCACCAAUCUUCACUGCAGGUCAUUCAUUUGGAAUGAUGGGUGCUGUGCUUGUUUCAUCUUUUGAGUCAACCGGUGCACACUUUGCAACUGCACGUCUAGCCGGUGCAACACCACCCCCAGCUCAUGUUCUUACUCGAAGUAUUGGUUUACAGGGCAUUGGGAUAUUCCUGGCAGGACUGUGUGGUGCUCCAGCCGGUUCAUCUGUAUCAGUCGAAAACAUCGGGCUACUUGGAUUAACAAAAGUUGGAAGUAGGAGAGUGAUCCAGAUAUCAACUGGCUUCAUGAUAUUCUUCUCCAUAUUUGGGAAGUUUGGGGCGUUCUUCGCAUCAAUCCCGUUGCCAAUCUUCGCAGCAAUUUACUGCAUCUUGUUUGGUAUCGUAGCUGCUGUGGGAAUCUCGUUCAGCCAGUUUGCAAACAAAAACUCCAUGAGGAACAUCUACAUCAUUGGACUAUCCUUGUUCCUUGGCAUCUCGAUCCCUCAAUAUUUCGCAGAGUACACCGCUUCUGCUGGCCGCGGACCUGCCCGAACAAAUGCAGGAUGGUUCAAUGACAUCAUCAACACAGUUUUUGCCUCCGGCCCAACGGUGGCGCUGAUCGUCGCGUCGCUUCUGGACAACACGCUGGAGCCCCGUGCCAACGAGAACGACCGAGGGCUCUCAUGGUUCACGCCAUUUCUGCGCCGCCGUAAAGGGUACUCGGACCCCAGGAACGAGGAGUUCUACAGCUACCCGAUACGGGUCCAUGACUUGGUUCCGCACCGGUUUCUCUGA